rnacentral:rRNA from 1 species
UACAGAGACUGCAAGCGUUAUUCGGAUUCACUGGGCGUAAAGGGUGCGCAGGCGGCCAAGUGUGUUAGGCGUGAAAGCCCGGGGCUUAACCCCGGAAUUGCACCUAAAACUACAUGGCUAGAGCAUUGGAGAGGGUAGCGGAAUUCACGGUGUAGCAGUGAAAUGCGUAGAUAUCGUGAGGAACACCAGAGGCGAAGGCGGCUACCUGGACAAUUGCUGACGCUCAGG